rnacentral:misc_RNA from 1 species
GAAAGAGGCCAAGUGCUACAGACUGCAGAAGUAGUCAUGAAUAUGCUUGAUGUGACAAUGCCUGACACCCUAACAGAAGAACAGAAGAAGAAGGUCCUGACGGCUGUUGGUCAAGGGGAGACAAUAAUGAAAGCAUUGCAAGAUGCUGUUCCUGAUGAUGUUCGUGGAAAGCUUACAACUGCUGUCUCUGGAAUUUUGCACAAUCAAGGUUCAAAUCUCAAAUUUGAUGGACU